rnacentral:rRNA from 1 species
GUGUCAGCAGCCGCGGUAAGACGAAGGAUGCAAGCGUUAUCCGGAUUCAUUGGGUUUAAAGGGUGCGUAGGCGGCCCGGUAAGUCAGUGGUGAAAUCUCCUUGCUUAACAAGGAAACUGCCAUUGAUACUGCUGGGCUUGAGUACAGAUGCUGUGGGCGGAAUAUGACAUGUAGUGGUGAAAUACUUAGAGAUGUCAUAGAACACCGAUUGCGAAGGCAGCUCACAAAACUGUAACUGACGCUGAGGCACGAAAGUGCGGGGAUCAAACAGGAUUAGAUACCCUGGUAGUCC